GGCCUCUGUGUUUAUUAGUAGGAGUUAGGAUAGUCCGUAUGUAGGAGUAGGCCUCUGUGUUUAUUAGUAGGAGUUAGGAUAGUCCGUAUGUAGGAGUAGGCCUCUGUGUUUAUUAGUAGGAGUUAGGAUAGUCCGUAUGUAGGAUAGGCCUAGGUGUUUAUUAGUAGGAGUUAGGAUAGUCCGUAUGUAGGAUAGGCCUAGGUGUUUAUUAGUAGGAGUUAGGAUAGUCCGUAUGUAGGAUAGGCCUAGGUGUUUAUUAGUAGGAGUUAGGAUAGUCCGUAUGUAGGAUAGGCCUAGGUGUUUAUUAGUAGGAGUUAGGAUAGUCCGUAUGUAGGAUAGGCCUAGGUGUUUAUUAGUAGGAGUUAGGAUAGUCCGUAUGUAGGAUAGGCCUAGGUGUUUAUUAGUAGGAGUUAGGAUAGUCCGUAUGUAGGAUAGGCCUAGGUGUUUAUUAGUAGGAGUUAGGAUAGUCCGUAUGUAGGAUAGGCCUAGGUGUUUAUUAGUAGGAGUUAGGAUAGUCCGUAUGUAGGAUAGGCCUAGGUGUUUAUUAGUAGGAGUUAGGAUAGUCCGUAUGUAGGAUAGGCCUAGGUGUUUAUUAGUAGGAGUUAGGAUAGUCCGUAUGUAGGAUAGGCCUAGGUGUUUAUUAGUAGGAGUUAGGAUAGUCCGUAUGUAGGAUAGGCCUAGGUGUUUAUUAGUAGGAGUUAGGAUAGUCCGUAUGUAGGAUAGGCCUAGGUGUUUAUUAGUAGGAGUUAGGAUAGUCCGUAUGUAGGAUAGGCCUAGGUGUUUAUUAGUAGGAGUUAGGAUAGUCCGUAUGUAGGAUAGGCCUAGGUGUUUAUUAGUAGGAGUUAGGAUAGUCCGUAUGGAGGAUAGGCCUAGGUGUUUAUUAGUAGGAGUUAGGAUAGUCCGUAUGGAGGAUAGGCCUAGGUGUUUAUUAGUAGGAGUUAGGAUAGUCCGUAUGUAGGAUAGGCCUAGGUGUUCAGGAGUAGAUUUAAAACUAGCACAGCUACAGCAAGAAUCGACAAGAAGACUCUCAAGAAUAUCCAUCUUCCAUAUAUUGUAGAAAAACAGUUAGGCCGAUAAGUCAAGAAAUUAAAACGGUUUCCGGUUCACAUGGACCUGGAAUAGGCUACAUUGACCAGAUAAGAUGUUGUGAUGUGAGUGUGAGGGAGGACCACACACAAAGACAGGGCGGUUUCCAUUAAGGAGGGCAGGCUCCCCCUCCAGGCAGGAUUAGAUACAUGAUGAUACAAGCCUACUGGACUGUUUAUGUGUGUCGGUGGGUGUGUGUGUAAGAUACAAGCGGGCUGGACUGAGUGUGUGUGUGUGGAGUUAAGUGCACAGAUGACCUUGUCAUGACUAUUCCCAGAAGUCAGAACCCUGGGGCGGAUGGAUGUCUGAGUGCGUAAACCUACCACGUAACUUUCAGAAGCCCCCCCCUCUACAUUCUUCCACUACGGAAGCUACAGGACCUUUGA